rnacentral:rRNA from 1 species
GAUGAACGCUGGCGGCGUGCUUAACACAUGCAAGUCGAACGAGAAAUGUUAUUACGAUCUCUUCGGAGUGACGGUUUUAUUUCGAGUGGCGGACGGGUGAGUAACGCGUGAGCAACCUGCCCUAUACCGGGGGAUACCAGUUGGAAACGACUGUUAAUACCGCAUAAGCGCACGAUAAGACAUCUUGUUGUGUGAAAAACUCCGGUGGUAUAGGAUGGGCUCGCGUAUGAUUAGCCAGUUGGCGGGGUAAAGGCCCACCAAAGCGACGAUCAUUAGCCGACCUGAGAGGGCGACCGGCCACAUUGGGACUGAGACACGGCCCAAACUCCUACGGGAGGCAGCAGUGGGGAAUAUUGCACAAUGGGCGAAAGCCUGAUGCAGCGACGCCGCGUGAGUGAGGAAGUAUUUCGGUAUGUAAAGCUCUAUCAGCAGGGAAGAAAGAAAUGACGGUACCUGAGUAAGAAGCUCCGGCUAAAUACGUGCCAGCAGCCGCGGUAAUACGUAUGGAGCAAGCGUUAUCCGGAUUUACUGGGUGUAAAGGGAGCGUAGGCGGCAGAGCAAGUCUGAUGUGAAAGCCCGGGGCUCAACCCCGGUAGUGCAUUGGAAACUGUUCAGCUUGAGUGUCGGGAGGGGUAAGCGGAAUUCCUGGUGUAGCGGUGAAAUGCGUAGAUAUCAGGAAGAACACCGGAGGCGAAGGCGGCUUACUGGACGAUUACUGACUCUGAGGCUCGUAAAGCGUGGGGGAGCGAACAGGAUUAUAUACCCUGGUAGUCCAAGGGCGAAAUUCCACAGUUGGAUAUCAAGUUUAUCGAUACCGUCGACCUCGAGGGGGGGCC